GUUUAAACACCGGUUAUCGUACGAUUACAAAAGUUAAGCAACGUAGAGCCUGGUCAGUACUUAGAUGGGUGACCGCUUUAGAAUACC